AUGCUCUUGAACCACUUGCUCCAGGCAUCUCCCACCCUGUGGAGUGUACUUUCGUUUAAGUUAAAUCUCUGCUUUUGCUGCCUUGUUUUGUCCAAUUCUUUGUUCAAAAAGCCAAGAACCUGGGCAACUACGCUUAACUGGUAACAUAUGUUGGGGAACCAGCCAGGAGGUAAGCCCAAAGUUUAGGAUUUAUUUUUCUCUUUUUCCUCUUUCUCUCUUCCUUUCCAACUCAGGACCCUCAGGAGAUAGCGCCUAUGCACAGAGGCAACUGCAGGUUUGUGGCCAGGGCUACUCUCUGGUGAAAACAAAAGGUUUCUAUGUGGAAGCGCCUACCCCCAACUGCCCGGCUUGGGUGAGGGACCAAGUCCUUUUCUUUUUCAGUCUUUCAGCGGCCGUUUCCUAGCAGCUCCUUAGUAAUUGAGGGCAACUGGCCAGGACCACUCUCUGGUGUUACCUGAAGGCCAAGGAGUGACCGGUGAUAGCUGCCUGCCUGGAAGGGGGAAGGGCUCUUUUCCGUCUUGUCCAGUUAUCAUCCCUGAACCCUCCAUGUGAUGCAGUUGGCAGUGGCAGCCCAUCCAGGGUGAACUCAUGUUUCAGGCGAGUUAAACCUUGUUUCCUUAUGCUAAAUUCUUCCCUUCCCCUACUCAACUGGCUAAGGACAAGUCAGAGGGUUUGCGCAGAUGGUUUGUGUGUGUCAUGCGGGGGGAUUCAUAAAAGGGAAUUUAUGUACAAUUUAAUCUUGCCUAAAUUUAGAAAGUUAAAUAAUUGUUUUAAGUGGGAUAGGAAAAAAUCCAAAGGUUUGACUGAAAAUUAAUUUCUAGAAAUCAAGGCCUUCAUCCAGGGACAAGAGGGAAAGUUCAUAGUGGGCCAUCAGUGGUGGAGGAAACCAUUCCAUAGUGGUGUCAGAUCUAAGGUCAGAGACGUCCGACAGACUAAGAUGGGGCCCUAAAGAGGGAUGUCCCCCAGGACCCCAGUCAGGGCCCAGAAUUUUUCCAGGGGGAUGACCCGUGUAAAAUUUGGGUCACCUAAUGGGCCCUCCACUUUCCAAAGUCCUCUUCUCUUUUCCAGACCACUAUAGGCAACUCUCCAUCGAUUCCACCUGAUUCCUCUAUGGGCCACUCUCCAUCUAUUUCACCUGGUACCCUGCUUGGCUACAUCCUCCACCAUUGAAAUCAACUUUACCCUGACAAUCUAAAGAGAAAAUAGACCAUCAAGUUUCAGAUGAUCCUGUGACAAGGUUUCCAGCCUGUUCCAAAUGAAGGCAGCACCCCUGGCCAUCAAGAAACUACCCAGUCUCCACUCGAUAGAUAAAGGCAGGAGUUCGGGGAUCCCCAAUAGGUAGGGACUGCACCUCAAGUCAGGGUGACGCAGUUACAGAAGAAAGACCAUCAGUCACUCUGUCUCCCAUAAAGAUUUCUGGGGAUCAUGUCUCUCGGGGGAAAUGAGGCAGGAGAAUAGGGUCUGGAGGCAGGGAACCUAAGUUCGAUGCAUGCUGACUGGAUAUCAGAGGCUACUCCCUUUCAACCCCUCCUUUUUCUGCAUGGCAGUUGCUGCCUGGCAGUUGGAAAUGAAAGUACCUCGGAUUGGUUCCCUCCCGCAACCAAUCAGACUGGUUGCGGGCCACUACUUUAUGUGCAUAGAGUGAACAGAUGGGAAACCCCUGGAGGGUAUUUAAACCCCAGAAAAUCCUGUAGCCCAGGCUCUUGAGCCUCUUGCUCGAGCCCGCUCCCACCCUGUGGAGUGUACUUUCGUUUAAAAUAAAUCUCUGCUUUUGCUGCCUUG